AUGGUCUUUGAAUUGCUGCUUUCUCUGGAGAGGACGUCUGAGGCUGCUGCCUGGAGAGAGGAAGGAGCGGCGGCUCCUCGGCGCGUGAUGUUCGUCUGGAUGUUGUUAAACGUUUGGAAGAAGGCCUCGUUCACCAGCGAUCGCGUUCCUGUCGGGCCGUGCGGGCUGCGGCGCCGCUGUACGGACAGCCGCGGGCAGUCGGCUCCCCCCUGCUGCGCGGCCCCCCCUCGUCUUCGUGUGACCGCGGCAGCGCCGGCACCGCGCCGGCACCGGGGGCUGCGGGCAGCGGCGGGGGCUGCGGGCAGCGCGCGCACGGCUGGGCCCGGCGCCGGCGGCCUUCGGGCGGCCUCGGGGACGCGGCCGCGUUAAGGGAAACAGCUGCGCGCUGCCGGGCGCCUGGGAGGCGACGCCGUCCUUCGGUAGGAAGCGGCGCCGCUGCGGUUCCUCGUCUCGGGAAUUAUCCCGUCGCUUCAGCGUAGCGAGUAGAGAAGUGAUUCGGCGGCUGGACGUGUGGUGCGUAGAGGUUAGACGGACCCUGUGGCUGUGGGUGUGCCUGGCGUGGGUGAGAGGAAGAACGGUGUCCCCCUGCAGCGAAAAGCGUGCUAGAGCGAAAAGGUCUUAAAGCGACGAGCCUUAGUUUUCUGCCAGUUCUGAAUUAGUCCUGGCAUCUCAGAAAGGAUGUGAUAGAACGUGCAAGGAGAAGCUGCAAAAGUGAUGGAGGAUGUGGAGGAAACGCUUGCUGAGGAGAGCUGAGUGCUAAGGCAGCAGAACGUGUCCAGGGCAUCUCCAGAGGUGCUGAAUGAGGUGAGUGCAAACAGGGAUUCACUGAAGCUCACGUAUGGGGAGGAGGAGCACUCAGUGAAACUGGCAGGAGACUGGCUUAAGAGAAAAAGCAAGUUUUCAUUUAUUUCUUUAUUUAUUUUGAAGUAGCAGAAAGUGAACUUGGGAACGGGUUGCUGCAGGGUAUGGUUGGAGGCAGGCACUGUGUUCUGAAACAGCUUAGACAAAGUCUUGGAUAGCAGGUUGGUGAAAAGGGAUGCACCCUUAUCACCCCUGCGCAGCACUUGUGGCUGUGAGGAAAGGAGCAGGAGGGAACUCUAAAGGCUGGCCAACUUCCCUGCUCUUAGUAACGUUGCCUACUGGCAUGGCGUGCGACAGCGUACCAGGCUAGCCAGGCCAAGUAUGUAGCUUGUAGAGAGCCUAUCUUUUCUGAAAAAGUUUUUCUCUUCAAUAACGUGCUCACAUUUUGUGGGCUCAGGUAAGAUUUCAGUCAAGCAACAAUCUAGUAAGUCACCCCCCUUGAAUUUGGGGAGGAACAAGACUCAUUGCAUUUCUACCACUAACAUGUCACAGGAAAGCAAGUCCCUGC
rnacentral:lncRNA from 1 species